UGUUCAAUUGUACUGUUCAGCGGUUUGAUAAACAGGCUGUUAUUGUUGAGGCUGACGCCACCGGUGGCCCGAACCAUUUCGCCGUCGAGUGGAAUAUCCAGAUGUAAGCGACCACUCACAUCUCCGCCAAUCUGCAGCUCUUCUAACGCUGCCCCGAGAGAGUCUUUCAGCGGAGUGUCCAUAAAGUAGGCGCCAAUAUCUUUACCUGAACCUUUGAUAUCCGAAUCAACGAACAGUUUUUCCUUCAGGUAGUCAGGAAUAUUAGCGACCACGUUAUUGCCAUCAACAUUGCCCAGUUUGGUAUGAGCCGCUUUCAUGAACAAGCCGUCAUUGAGGAAAUCGAGGUCGAUAUCCAGAUUAGUCAGCGCUGGCCAUUCAGGCUGGAAUUCGAAAGUUGAAUGGCGCAAUGGCA
rnacentral:ncRNA from 1 species